rnacentral:rRNA from 1 species
GCAUCGAUGAAGAACGCAGCCAGUUGCGAUAAGUAGUGUGAAUUGCAGAAUUCAGUGAAUCAUCGAAUCUUUGAACGCAAAUUGCGCUUUCUGGAUAUCCAGGGAGCAUGCCUGUCUGAGCGUCGUUUAAAGAUCAACAUACUUUGGUAUGGGUAGGGAUUUUAGGUGGCUUACCAUUGGUGAGUUAUCUAUAUCUCGAUGUAUCUGAACCUUGCAUUACCUUGAUUGUAUUGCUUGGAAGGCUCAACUUGCUUCUGUCCUUCUAAAGUGUGUACUAUCAUAUCGGUGUAGGUGUUCUUACAUUCCUUAAUCGGAAUGAAUUCCUUUUUUUGACCUCAGAUCAGACAAGACUACCCGCUGAAUUUAAGCAUAUCAAUAAGCGGAGGA